rnacentral:rRNA from 1 species
UACAGAGGUCUCAAGCGUUGUUCGGAUUCAUUGGGCGUAAAGGGUGCGUAGGCGGCGCGGUAAGUCGGGUGUGAAAUCUCGGGGCUUAACUCCGAAACUGCAUUCGAUACUGCCGUGCUUGAGGACUGGAGAGGAGACUGGAAUUUACGGUGUAGCGGUGAAAUGCGUAGAUAUCGUAAGGAAGACCAGUGGCGAAGGCGGGUCUCUGGACAGUUCCUGACGCUGAGGCACGAAGACCAGGGGAGCAAACGGG